GAACAAAAAGCAGUGAUCUGAGAGAUGGUAAUGGUGAACCAGUUCACCAUUACCAUAUCUUGAGCUUGCUGAAUCUUCUUGUCAGUGGUGGAGGUUGAUGGGCGUCCUGCUCUCUCUUCGUGCAUCCCACUUAUCUGGCCACUUUUAAACUUCUCGAUUCAUUCAUACACACUUCUAUGCGGUAGUAUACUGUCCCCAUAUUGUGCUAAAAGCCUCUGAUGAAUUUCAACACCUGACACACCUUCCAACCAGAGAAAUCAGAUCACUGCUCCUUGUUCUUCUUUGGUGCACAUUGCUAGUGGAGCAGCCAUGCUUACACUGUAAUGCCAGAACGAAAAAUGGUACCAUAGGCUCAAACUUCGAUCACGUGACCACAAUAGUACCAACUAUAAGCAUGCAUGUGCAGAGAGGCAGUGUGACACUUAUAAAGAUGUCUGAAGCUGGUGCCAGUGGUGGAAAGUCACCUGAUAAUCGUGAUAAAUAUUUAAUGAACCUUAUGUCAAAGCAGGAAUCUAUGUACUGUGUUCAACCUUUAACUUGGUGUCCACAUCUUGAAAAAGUAACUAGUGUUCCUCCACAAGGUCUUGAUACAUCGUCUCCAUGUGAAACAUGUGGGGAUACAAAUGAAAAUUGGGUGUGUCUUACUUGCUAUAAGGUUUUCUGUAGUCGAUAUGUACAAGAACAUAUGGUAAAGCACCAUGAAGUAGAACCUGACCAUUAUAUAGUGUUAAGCUAUGCAGAUCUUUCUGUAUGGUGCUAUGGAUGUAACAGUUAUGUUGAACAUGAGAAGACUAAGAGAAAAAGAUGUUUUAUAUGACACAUUCUACCAGUGUUUCAAAGUGUUUCGUUAAUGAAAAAUGUGGCCCCCGUUUUAAAAAAGAUCUGAAGUGGGGCCUGUGGGUCCUGACGGAAGGGCCACAGUGAGCAUGCAGGGUCAGAGAGGCAUAAACGGUCAGUUGGUGGCAGACAGUGCAUCAGAGUAUACAGUGAUGGACAGCGCACAUGGACGUUGAAAGCGACCCUUUUCCAAACUAACAGCUAAUCCAAAAUGCCAAGAAAACUGCAUGUAAACAUAAAUUUGGAGAAUAACCAUCCUUUAGGAGACUUGGCAAAGAGAAAACAUCAUAGCAGUCUCAUCAUUAUCUAACUGAAAUAACCAAUGGUUGAUACCUUUCAAUGACUGACUUAAAUGUUCCUAUUUCAUAUUGCAAUUGUACCAUCUUAUUGAUGUUCAUUUCUAAUAAAAAUCACUAAAACUUCUUGUUAAUAAA